GUCCCAUGGAGCUUCUGUCCCAUGACUCACCUGAACUGCCUUGGUUGGUUGGGUGCACACAGGACUUUGGCUCUCAAGCCGAGUCCUCCAAGGAUGGAGGUCAAGGACAGUGAAGAAAGAGGUUGAAGCCCAGUAAGAACAGAUCUGUACAAGACAGAUGAAGCCCUGGAAGUGUUGAGGGCAAGUUGUCACAAUAUUCAAGAGUGCCCAAGUGACCCAAGAUACUAGGUUGACAGAUUUAAUCAGAAACCUCACAACCCAGAAGGAAUUGGGCCCCCAUCUUUAACCUCCUGAAACAAUUGUCAGCCAAGAGUUUUGUAUUCAGCAAAACCAAGCUUCAUAAAUGAGAAAGUCUUUCAAAUGCUGAGAGAAUUCACCACCAAACCAGCACUACAAAAAAAAUUUCCCACCAUCUACACCUAGGAAAGGCCAUAAAGUUUCUUCUGAUCUUGGAGAUGUGACAAGAGAAUUCAAGAGAAAAGGGAGUUGGUUCUGCCAAUAAGGUAGUAUCCCUCAACUGUUGGGCAUAGACGUUCCCAGGCUCUUACCAGCGAAAGGACUCCAUGUAGAAGGAUACUUCUCAUGGUACUUUGGACUUCUUGUUCAAUGGUUUGUCUGCAAUGUUCUUUUGGGCCUUUGCAAGCACAUACAACUUGAGCCCACAAGAAGUUAAGCCUCCAAAGGAUGAGUAUUAAAAACCAUGAAGGGCUGGUUAAGCCCAGUGAAUUAUCUACAGAGAAUCAAAGUCCCAGAGGUGUCCUCAGCUCCAUCCCAUGCUCCGAGAUACAACUGUUCAACAUUCACAAGGAGGAGGAGAUGGUGUCCCUGGACACCAGACAGUAGUUGUGCUCUCUUGUCUAAUAGAGAAGCAUAGGAACAAUAUCACAGGAGCAAGAGGGUUCCUGCACAACAGGGCAUCCGCAGCAGCCUUGCUGCCAUCACCUGGCUUCACCUUCUAGACUCCUUUGAACAUGUGGAAGAUACUGAGGCCCAGAGAAACCUACCAAGAGAUUUUACUGCAAGCUUUCCAACACCUCAGCAGUUACUUCAGUUCAUCCUUCACAUGUCAGCCACUUCUCUUGCUCUGCCUUGGCAGAAUCACCAAAAAGACACAAAACAGGGAGAAGAAUCACGAAAGAGGAAAGAUGCUCAUCACCAGGCAGCAGCCCCAGCAGUGCAAC
rnacentral:lncRNA from 1 species